rnacentral:rRNA from 1 species
UACGUAGGGUGCGAGCGUUGUCCGGAAUUACUGGGCGUAAAGAGCUCGUAGGUGGUUUGUCGCGUUGUUCGUGAAAACUCACAGCUUAACUGUGGGCGUGCGGGCGAUACGGGCAGACUGGAGUACUGCAGAGGAGACUGGAAUUCCCGGUGUAGCGGUGAAAUGUGUAGAGAUCGGGAGGAACACCGGUGGCGAAGGCGGGUCUCUGGGCAAUUCCUGACGCUGAGGCGCGAAAGCGUGGGGAGCAAACGGG